GAAAUCAUCAAUUACUGGUCUAACUAUCAAAGGUAUUCUCACUACAUGGAAGCCAUCUUUCCAGAAAAGGUUUCCAAAUGAGUAUCUUCCUUGAACCUUUAAUAGGGAACAAAAAGUUACCUUGAACUCGAGCUUCUUUAUUGAAGAAUUAAAUGACAAAAUUGAUGGCUUAACUCUCACGUAAAUGCCAGGUGGAGAUUGAACAUGAACAAAGUAGACAGACGCAACAUGACCAACA
rnacentral:misc_RNA from 1 species